AGUCGGCGCACUCGCCCUGACGGCCAGGUGUCUCGCCUAAUCAUCUGCUGGGCUCCACCGUGAGCACCCGCCUCCGCUCACAGCUGGCCAAUCAGGACGCGGCUUCAUAACAGCGUCCUUCGGACGCAGGGAAGGACAUGCCUGAAGGACUGCACUGUGCUGACCAUGUUCUGUCUCCAAGAGCAAAGAAGAAAAAUUGAACACUUGGCUGUUAUCAGCACUUUGAAUGUAUUAUCUCAAAUCAUUUGUACAUUUGUAACCUUUAAUAUUGAUAAUUUCAUGAAUACCAAAUUUGACUUAAAAUCAUUAAACUGUUGCUUGUGCAGUA